GGGUGGGGCUGACCAACUUCGUCCGCCGUACUCGGAAUGGCACGAGACUUUGCGAGCGGCCUCCGUGUGCCAAAAAUAGGCAGCGGGCACAGCCGCGCCCAAAAAUAAACUGCCCGAAGGCCGGGGCGCCAAGUUCGUCCAGCGGAAAAAGGCCACACAAAACGGGUGGGCUAUGGCCUUGGGGGGUGGGGCUGCCCAACUUCGUCCGCCGGACUCGGAAUGGCGCGAG
rnacentral:lncRNA from 1 species